rnacentral:rRNA from 1 species
GGACUGAAACUCGUCCUCAUGAAGCUGGAUUCGGUAGUAAUCGCCGUUCAGAAGACGGCGGUGAAUACGUCCCUGCUCCUUGCACACACCGCCCGUCAAAGCACCCGAGUGAGGUCCGGAUGAGGCCACCAAGCGGUGGUCGAAUCUGGGCUUCGCAAGGGGGCUUAAGUCGUAACAAGGUAGCCGUAGGGGAAUCUGCGGCUGGAUCACCUCCUAAC